UUUAAAAAUAAUUUAAGUUAAGAAGCUUAAUUUUAUAAAUUUUUUUAGGAUACUAAAUUAGGGAUGUCAACGGAUUGGAUUCGGGGCGGAUUUUUAAAAAUCCGAAUCCGAACCCGACGGAUUUUAAAAAUACAUAUACAAAUCCAAACCCGACUAAAAAUUCGAAACAAUUAUUUCUCUUCUCAAUAUUUUAAAAUAUAUUAUAUUAAAUCUAAAUUUUUAAAAUAUAAAUUUAAAUAUAAUAUCAAAUUUUUCAGGUUCAUGUCGGGUCAAUCAAAAUCCAAAUCCAAAUCCAUAUCCGUCGAAUUUUUAUUUUUAAUAUCUAUAUUCAAAACCAUAUUCGUUUAGUAUCGAGUAAAUUUGUUCUGUUCGGAUUCGAAUUCGGAUAAAAUUUUGGGUAUCCGUACCUACUCACAUCCCUACACUAAACAGUUGCAAAAUUAAUUCGACAUUUGCAGAAUUUGGAAUAGUCUUAUAUACCUUAUUGAAUAAAAAAGAAUAUAUUGAAUGAAUAGAUGGUAAAUUCUAACAUUAAGGUAUAGUAGAGUUUGCCUUUUUAAUUUUGUUAUUGCAUUCUGGGCGGUUGCUAAGUCCAAAAGAAUAGAAAAAUUGAGCAAUUUCACGAUUAUAGUAGUUUUAGAAUAGAUAAUUUUUCUCCACAGAAUAUCAGAGUCAAUUAUUAGUUAGAAAUGUGAGAUGAAUUUCGAAUGAGCUAGAGUUAUACAGUGGGCAAGAGUGCAACUCCCUACAAGAUGGGCUAAAACUAACGAAACGAGUCCCACAUCUCAUAAUACUUAAGAAUGUGCUUAAGUGUGACAAAUAUAUCACAUCAUAUGAAACUUAGAAUGAUUUGAACCAAGAUAUCCAAA
rnacentral:lncRNA from 1 species